rnacentral:rRNA from 1 species
UCAGAUUGAACGCUGGCGGCGUGCUUAACACAUGCAAGUCGAACGAGAAAGGGACUGCUUGCAGUCCUGAGUAGAGUGGCGCACGGGUGAGUAACACGUAGAUAAUCUACCUUCGAGUUUGGGAUAACCGCCUGAAAGGGCGGCUAAUACCGGAUAAAGUUUAUUGACACAAGUUGAUAAAUGAAAGGCAGCCGAUUCAUGAAAGCUGUUGUUUGGAGAUGAGUUUGCGGACCAUUAGCUUGUUGGUGGGGUAAAGGCCUACCAAGGCUGUGAUGGUUAGCUGGUCUGAGAGGAUGAUCAGUCACACUGGAACUGGAACACGGUCCAGACUCCUACGGGAGGCAGCAGUGAGGGAUUUUGCGCAAUGGGGUAACCCCUGACGCAGCAACGCCGCGUGAGUGAAGAAGGCCUUUGGGUCGUAAAGCUCUGUCAACUGGGAAGAAGUUAUAGUAUAUUAACAGUAUAUUGUAUUGACGGUACCAGUGGAGGAAGCAUCGGCUAACUCCGUGCCAGCAGCCGCGGUAACACGGGGGAUGCAAGCGUUAUUCGGAAUUAUUGGGCGUAAAGUGCGCGUAGGCGGUAUUGUCGGUCAGAUGUGAAAGCCCGGGGCUCAACCCCGGACGUGCAUUUGAAACAGCAAUACUUGAGUACGGGAGAGGAGAGCGGAAUUCCUGGUGUAGAGGUGAAAUUCGUAGAUAUCAGGAGGAACACCGAUGGCGAAGGCAGCUUUCUGGACCGAUACUGACGCUGAGGUGCGAAGGCGUGGGUAGCGAACAGGAUUAGAUACCCUGGUAGUCCACGCAGUAAACGAUGUUCACUAGGUGUAGCGGGUAUUAAAAUCUGCUGUGCCGCAGUUAACGCAUUAAGUGAACCGCCUGGGGAGUACGGUCGCAAGACUAAAACUCAAAGGAAUUGACGGGGGCCCGCACAAGCGGUGGAGCAUGUGGUUUAAUUCGACGCAACGCGAAGAACCUUACCUGGGUUUGACAUCCUGUGGAUUUGUAAGAGAUUACAAAGUGCCUUCGGGAGCACAGAGACAGGUGCUGCAUGGCUGUCGUCAGCUCCUGUCCUGAAAUGUUUGGUUAAGUCCAGCACCGAGCGCAACCCUUAUCGUUAGUUGCCAGCACAUAAUGGUGGGAACUUUACCGAGACUGCCCGGUUAACGGGAGAGAAAGUGGGGAUGACCUCAAGUCCUCAUGGCCCUUAUAUCCCGGGCUAAC